UACGGAGGGUGCAAGCGUUGUCCGGAUUUAUUGGGUUUAAAGGGUGCGUAGGCGGUCGUUUAAGUCUGGGGUGAAAGCCCACUGCUCAACAGUGGAACUGCCCUGGAAACUGGACGACUUGAGUACAGACGAGGGUGGCGGAAUGGAUGGUGUAGCGGUGAAAUGCAUAGAUACCAUCCAGAACCCCGAUUGCGAAGGCAGCUGCCCUAG
rnacentral:rRNA from 1 species